UAGGGAAUCUUCGGCAAUGGACGAAAGUCUGACCGAGCAACGCCGCGUGAGUGAAGAAGGUUUUCGGAUCGUAAAACUCUGUUGUUAGAGAAGAACAAGGACGUUAGUAACUGAACGUCCCCUGACGGUAUCUAACCAGAAAGCCACGGCUAACUACGUGCCAGCAGCCGCGGUAAUACGUAGGUGGCAAGCGUUGUCCGGAUUUAUUGGGCGUAAAGCGCACGCAGGCGGUCUGUCAAGUCAGAUGUGAAAUCCCCGGGCUCAACCUGGGAACUGCAUCUGAUACUGGCAAGCUUGAGUCUCGUAGAGGGGGGUAGAAUUCCAGGUGUAGCGGUGAAAUGCGUAGAGAUCUGGAGGAAUACCGGUGGCGAAGGCGGCCCCCUGGACGAAGACUGACGCUCAGGUGCGAAAGCGUGGGGAGCAAACAGG
rnacentral:rRNA from 1 species